AACGAACGCUGGCGGCAGGCUUAACACAUGCAAGUCGAACGGAUCCUUCGGGAUCAGUGGCGGACGGGUGAGUAACGCGUGGGAACCUACCCUGGGGUGGGGAAUAACCUUGGGAAACCGAGGCUAAUACCGCAUACGCCCUAUUGGGGAAAGACUAUGUUGCCCUGGGAUGGGCCCGCGUCCGAUUAGCUAGUUGGUGGGGUAAUGGCCUACCAAGGCUGCGAUCGGUAGCCGGUCUGAGAGGAUGAUCAGCCACACUGGGACUGAGACACGGCCCAGACUCCUACGGGAGGCAGCAGUGGGAAUAUUGGACAAUGGGGGGCAACCCUGAUCCAGCCAUGCCGCGUGAGUGAAGAAGGCCUUAGGGUUGUAAAGCUCUUUCACCCGUGACGAUGAUGACGGUAGCGGGAGAAGAAGCCCCGGCUAAUUCCGUGCCCAGCAGCCGCGGUAAU
rnacentral:rRNA from 1 species